rnacentral:rRNA from 1 species
AGGACGAACGCUGGCGGCGUGCUUAACACAUGCAAGUCGAGCGGUAAGGCUCCUUCGGGAGUACACGAGCGGCGAACGGGUGAGUAACACGUGAGCAAUCUGCCCUUCUCUUCGGAAUAAGCGUUGGAAACGACGUCUAAUGCCGAAUACGACCUCCUUUCACAUGGUCGGAGGUGGAAAGCUCCGGCGGAGAAGGAUGAGCUCGCGGCCUAUCAGCUAGUUGGUGUGGGUAACGGCCCACCAAGGCGACGACGGGUAGCCGGCCUGAGAGGAUGAUCAGCCACACUGGGACUGAGACACGGCCCAGACUCCUACGGGAGGCAGCAGUGGGGAAUCUUGCACAAUGGGCGAAAGCCUGAUGCAGCAACGCCGCGUGCGGGAUGAAGGCCCUAGGGUUGUAAACCGCUUUCAGCAGGGAAGAAAUGACGGUACCUGUAGAAGAAGGUGCGGCCAACGUACGUGCCAGCAGCCGC